rnacentral:rRNA from 1 species
UUAUAAGAGACAGCAGUAGCCGCGGUAAUACGGAGGGUGCAAGCGUUAUCCGGAUUUAUUGGGUUUAAAGGGUCCGUAGGCGGACUUAUAAGUCAGUGGUGAAAGCCUGUCGCUUAACGAUAGAACUGCCAUUGAUACUGUAAGUCUUGAGUAUAUUUGAGGUAGCUGGAAUAAGUAGUGUAGCGGUGAAAUGCAUAGAUAUUACUUAGAACACCAAUUGCGAAGGCAGGUUACCAAGAUAUAACUGACGCUGAGGGACGAAAGCGUGGGUAGCGAACAGGAUUAGAUACCCCUGUAGUCCCUGUCUCUUAUAC